rnacentral:lncRNA from 1 species
GCAACCAAAUUGAACCUUCCCGAAAAUCUUUCUACCGGUCCAUUUGCAAAGUCCGGGGCAUGUGAUCGUGGGGGCUUAUCUGUUCAGACUAGUAAGGGGAAAUGAGGUUUGGUUUAAGGAGUUUUGAUCUGCAGUGGGGUGACUUGGGAUUAAAAGGCUUUCGGAUCUUGUUGGUGUGUUGGGGUGGUUUUUGGAUGUUGGGUUUGCUCGGUCCUCCACCAUUCUUCUGACCACUCUUCCUUUGCACUCAUAUCCCCUCCUUGCGGCCCACCCCUUCUCUCUCCCUUGGAGCGUUCGGAUCUGAUCUGGUUGGAGUUGGGAGCCAUCUGGUGUUUCGCAGAGUUUGGAGGUGGUUGGCGCCUUUGGUGGUGCUGUGCUUUCUCGUCUUUUGACCAUAUCAGUUGCUUGAAGCUUGUUGCUCUACUACCUGUUGGACUGAUUUGGUGUUUAAGGGGUUUCCAAUCUGUUUAGAUUAAUUUAUUGCAUAUUUCAUUCUUUCCGAUUGGAUGGUUUUGAGGCCAGACUUUGGGUUAUCCAGUUGUUUUCUGAUCUGAAUAUUUGCAUUUCACUCAUAUCCCUUCAAUGUUUAGAUCUGAACUUCUCAGUGGGAACAUCUUUGGUUCUGGUACCGAAGGAUGGUUCCUUGUUUACUUCCAAUCUUAGCUUAGUUGUUAAUGCUAAAUUUAUUUGCUUGGUUUGGUUGUGUUCUCUUUUGAUUUCCUGAUUCAUUGCUGCCGGAUUGAUCCAGCUGCUGGGUUGGGAUGGAGUUCUCCGACUUUUUUUGGUUGGUGUUUCUGCAGGUGGGGCCCACGUGGGCAUGGUGACUUGUUUAAAGCUAUGCCAUGCGGGAUCCACGGAGUUUAUGAGGGCUGGUGCUUGGAUUUUAAAAGAUUAUGUAGCCUCUUGUGGGUUGUCAAUUGCAGCACUCUAGUCCUUAUUGUUAUAGCUAAAUAUGUCAUUAUCUUUUAGUUAGUGUCUAUUUAGUGGUUUCUUUUUCUAGCUUCAGGUUGUAAGGCAGUAUUAAAUUAAGUUAGGAA